CUUUUAUGAUGCAACUCGCACACGUCUUACGCCCUGUGUCAAUGCCAGAACCUGAAAAGGUGAACCCACUGGUGUGUCCUGGGCAAUAAGGGGAUGAUCCGUUGGGGUUUCCAACAGUCUGAGAAGC
ensembl:snoRNA SNORD22 Small nucleolar RNA SNORD22